AUUAUUAUUAUUAUCAUUAGGAUCCAACAGGCUCUUCUUCUGUUCUUAAAGUAAUUUAUUAAAUUUCUCUAUCAUUGUUUAAAUCUUUGAACCCUCCAAUAACUCUUAAUGCUUAAAAUGUUAUUGGGAUGCCUGAGAAGAUCUAGCUAAUUACCAAGCAGCUGUGUGAGAGACCUAGUAAGCUGACAAAUUCAGACCUACAGUCCAUCUCCCCCGCUACUGCCUUCACUGACUAGCAAUGACUUCUCCAAGGUACCAUGCAGGACUCCUUCCCGCAGAUCUACCUGCAGAUGCUGAGGAGCUUUCACCUGCAAAUCAGGUGCUCUACCACUGAGCUAUGGACUUUCCCUAAAAGAGGGUGUGUCCUAGGGGCACCCCAGGGCAACUCACAAUCCAGCCAGCCAAACAGAGCCCGGGCCCGCAUAUAGAAGGCCCUGUGGCAUUUCCAGCUUGUAUAAAAACUAUCAGAUGACAAGAGAUGAAAAGGACUUCAGUUCAAGACCCUGGAGAACUGAGAUGCCGUAAGAAUAGACCAGUAGUGGGGGAGCUGUGAGCCUCCAGCUGCUGAGGGACUACAACUCCCAUCAUGACCACUGGCCAUGCUGUCUGGGGCUGGUGGGAGUUGUAGUCCGGUGACAACUGGAGCGCCACAGAUGUUCUCCCAUCCAUGGGCUAUGUGGAGAAAGAGUCUGACUUGGUAUAUAUGGCUGCUUCCUAUGUUCUGGUUUUUUUUUUUUACACGCAGGAAGAACAGGAAGUUUAUUGAGGUCUUGGUGGGUCACUGUACCGGAGGCCGUUGUGUAAAAGAGUCAUUUGGAUGAGAAACAGGGAUACAGGGAACUCCCGAUUUAUGCAGGGGUUGUGUUCAGAAGAACACAUAUUAGCCCGCCCCGAACCCCAAUGUCCCCACCCCACCCUGCCUAUUUGCCCUGCCAAAAAUGGCACGCUUGGCAGCAGUCACGUGCAAGUGGGAGGUUUCCCUUUACAGUGGUACCUCGGGUUAAGUACUUAAUUCGUUCCGGAGGUCCGUUCUUAACCUGAAACUGUUCUUAUCAUGAAGCACCACUUUAGCUAAUGGGGCCUCCUGCUGCUGCUGCGCCGCCGGAGCACGAUUUCUGUUCUCAUCCUGAAGCAAAGUUCUUAAACCGAGGUACUAUUUCUGAGUUACCGGAGUCUGUAACCUGAAGCGUAUGUAACCCGAGGUACCACUGUAUUGCAAUAAAUUUGUAGGGCAUGGUCCGGUCUAGCUGAGCGCUUGUAAAUCCCAUUGAUUUCAGUGCAAGAGAUUUUGGCACCAUCUGUGCUAUCGUAUCAUAUUAUCGUGGAGACUCCCCCCUCCCACUUUCUCAAAUAAAUACGCAGUUCUCAGAGUGGUUUAUAACUGUCAACCCCUCUUUCCAGGGAACUCUGACAAUUGUCGCUCUCUGAGGGGAAUAGGGGAUUCCUCACAACUUUCAGCAACUAUGACGAAAUUCCAGUUCCCAGGAUUUUGGGGUGGGUGGGGUGUGGAAUGCCAUGACAGUUGAAAGCAUAGCUGUCAACUUACAGAUUUGAAAAUAAGGGACCAGCAGCCUCGAAAAUAAGGGAUCAGCAGACAAAAUAAGCGAUCAACAAUUACUUAGAUAAAAUACAUAUUUUGUUGCGUGCAAAUGGCUUUAGAUACCUAUUAGGUCCAUAAAUUACCAUCUAGCAUAUAUUCAACACAAAAAAACAGCAACAAUUUGUUGUUGACAAAGGACAGCUGGACAUAGAAAGGGCCCCAUUACCUUCAGUAGCUUAUUUAAGGGACAUCAUCCAUAAGGGACAGCAGUGGGACAUGGCGCUGGGAUAAGGGACUGUCCCACCAAAUAAGGGACGCUUGACAGCUAUGGUUUAAAGUGGUGUGUGAUAUGGCUUUAAAUGCCAUCAAAAUAAGGUGGGCUUCAAAGUGACCAACAUUGGCUGAGUUUUGCCUGAAGGGGGUUAAAAUGUGGCGGUGGCCCCCUUUUAUGCAAAUCUGCUCCGUGGUUAUUAAUAUGGAAGGGGUGGCAAUAGAAAAGGACCGAAUGGUCCUGUGGAGUCUACCCCUCCCCAACAUACUCACCAGUGUUGGGUUUAGUAAUUAUUAACAGAAGAGGAAACGAUUUGUGGUUAUGUAGCACAAUAUGGAUGAAUGACUGGCAUGGAGG